AUUUAUAUAGUUUAAAGAAAACAUUACACUUUCACUGUAAAGAUAUUUAAUAGAUUAUAAAUU
rnacentral:tRNA from 1 species